CAAGGGGUUGUAGUGCUCAUCUGGGAAGUGGGAGUGCACAGUUCUAGGUGCAGGGCUUUAGAAUUACUGUUUUAGCUUAAGGUUUCAGUUACUGAAGUAACUGGUGUAUAAAUUGAAUGUGGAGAAUCUGGAUAAAAUAUAGUGGUAGUUGGGAGUGUUGCUGUAUCUUUCUAAUUCCUACAGUUUCUUACUGCAGGAUUCUAUUUGAAUUGAGCAAAGCUGGCUAGUUGUUUGAGUGAUUUUCAGAUAAGGUCUGGGAAAUCAGGCAAGAACAGUGUUUUAGAUUAUUGAGAAAGAUGAAGAAAUUGCUUGAUGUCAGCAUGUUGAUGAUGGGAGGACACUUGCUUCUUUCUUCUCUUCCUGGUAUGAGGAACAAGAGAGGUGGUUCUGCUGAAACCAAGUGUCACCAGGCUGCCUUAUGAAGUCAGUUGAAAUGUGGCAUAAGCCUGUCAGCCUGGGGAAGUACCCCUUUCUGGGUGGCUUUGUGUUCCUUGGCAAUUUUGUAUGCCUGCAUACAUUAUCCUCGUACAGGUGGUCUGCCUGAUCCUCUUUUGUGCCCUGGCAAAGGAAAAGGUAGAGAGGAAAGGAGUAGGUGUCAGCACAGUAUGGCAGAGUGCAAGAAAACACCAGUAAAAGUGCAGCAGGAUCGCCUGUCAUCGCCUGUGGUGGGGGUGGAGAAACCUGGUCCUCACAUGCCACCUAGUGUAGGAAGCUGAGCAGCAGACCCGCGAGGAUGGGCUCUGUAAGCUGGGGUCACUAAAUGGGAAGUAAUGGAGACCUGAAGGCUGCCACGAGAUAAGCCACCACUGCCCUGCAGCUUCCUGAAUUUUGCUCUGCUAUUUAUUGUAUUUCCACCAGUGGAUUUCUGACUGAGUUGUCCAGCCACUGUCCUGCUGGGACUGAUAAGCAACAAUACCUUGAUCCAUCCUUGCAUCAGGUUUAAAAGCAGAUCUUGCCCUUUCUCCUACCUACUUUCACCUGUGUGCAGGCUUCCAUGCUCCCAUAUGUGUUCAUUGUGGUGUAAAUAAGAUUUUAUGUGGUGUGUAAAUAAGGAAAUCCCUAGAAGCAAGAGAGCACUUUAGAAGUUUGGCUUGUGUGAUGGCAAAAUGAUGACAUGUAACUUCAUCACUAAUGAAGGCCGUAUGUGAGAAAUGUGUGUUGAGAAAUGGGUGAAACAUAGCACAGGGGAAGAAGAAAUGGAAUGUCAUCAUAUGUUUUCCAUUUGCAUCCACAUUUUAAAAAAAUAAAUAUAGUAUUUCUACUCUUUCCAAGGCAA